AAUGUAUCUCAAGGCAACGAUUCUCAAAGCUGAAUAUGGAUCAAGAUUAUUCAAGGAACUUUUUAAAACAUUCUAAGACCCUGUCCCAGAGCUACUGAAGCUGAUCUUCCUUGGGCUGGAUCCAGAGUCUUCCUUUGUUCAGAACCUACUGAAAACUAAGGAGCCUUCUGAGUCAACUAAUAAGCAAGUCGGACCUUACCUCCUACCCUCUGGAACAUGUGUCUUUAUAGAGCAUCUGGGAACCUUGUUACUUCUGGCUCACCAGGGUGUACAGGAAGCAUGGUAGCAGCAUCUGCUUCUGGUGAGGGACUCAGACUGCUUCCAUUCAUGGUGGAAGUUGAAGGAAAACUGGCAUGUACAGAAGUCACGUGGUGAAAGAAGAGCUAAAAGAAAGAAAAUAGAGAGGAAGAGGUGCCAGGUUCUUUUCAACAACCAAUUCUCACAGGGACUAAAAGUGAAAAUUCACUUCCAUGACAGUGGCACCA